GAUGAACGCUAGCUACAGGCUUAACACAUGCAAGUCGAGGGGCAUCAGUUUGGUUUGCUUGCAAACCAAAGCUGGCGACCGGCGCACGGGUGAGUAACACGUAUCCAACCUGCCUCAUACUCGGGGAUAGCCUUUCGAAAGAAAGAUUAAUAUCCGAUAGCAUAUAUUUCCCGCAUUGGUUUUAUAUUAAAGAAAUUCGGUAUGAGAUGGGGAUGCGUUCCAUUAGUUUGUUGGCGGGGUAACGGCCCACCAAGACUACGAUGGAUAGGGGUUCUGAGAGGAAGGUCCCCCACAUUGGAACUGAGACACGGUCCAAACUCCUACGGGAGGCAGCAGUGAGGAAUAUUGGUCAAUGGACGCGAGUCUGAACCAGCCAAGUAGCGUGAAGGAUGACUGCCCUAUGGGUUGUAAACUUCUUUUAUAUGGGAAUAAAGUGGUCCACGUGUGGAUUUUUGUAUGUACCAUAUGAAUAAGGAUCGGCUAACUCCGUGCCAGCCGCCGCCGUAA
rnacentral:rRNA from 1 species